UUUUUUCCAAGACCCUCACCAGUUGCCCAAGAUAGGCCAGUUGCUUUCUUGGGAAGUCAUGUAAGUAUGGCUUUUGUCUAAUAAAGUGAAAUACAAUCUGACAUAUUAGACACCUACAGAAUGUUAAGAGAUUUGUACUAAAUUAAAACAGACAUAGAAAGUACAAAAUCAAAGAAAGAAAUGAUAUCUGUUCUCUUAGCUGUCUAUGGAAAGAAAGCAGCCCGAGAAGACUACACAGCUGUGCACCCGGUGCAUUUCUUAUGGGAAAGGAAGCAUGACUCACAUUCAUGAAGGGUGGAUCCAAACAACACUGAGAAUAUUUCCCAGGGGUCAGAGACUGAUGACAUGUACCUGGCCAGAUUCAGAGUCACUAUGAAUCAGUUACGUGUCUCUUAUUUUCCCCCAUUUUGAAGGCGAGUGUCUGUGGUGGUUGCCCUAAUGGUCUCAUAUUGUAUACUGAGCAUAUGGAGGGCAGAUUACUUAUCUCUUUAGUUCACAGGUCUUCAGAGCAAGAGGAACCAUACUCAAGGAGCCGUUCUUGAGGAACUUCAUCUAAACCUGGUCCUAAUCGUAGAUAACUAGAUUGUGGACUUUGAGAUGAUGCCAUAAUGGGAUGAAACUGUGGUCAUCUAGCAAGAGUUGAAGACACCACAUGGAGAAGAUCUAAGACUACAUGGAGAAGACGAAGAGCCCCGCUGAGGUCAGCUUUCCAGACAUCCCCCUCCAAUUCGCAGGCAUAUGUGAUGCCUGUAGAGGCAGCAGACAUCUUGCAACAAUGAAGCAACCAGCAUGAAAGUAAGAAGCCAACACACCAAGGAUGACAAAAAAAAAAAAAAAAAAAAAAAGGAAAGAAAGAUCUGGGUCAUUGAUGACGUUGUUGAGCUUUCAAAUUGGCUGUCAGAUCUCUUGUCAAGGACAUAAUAAACAUUCUUACUUAAGCCGCUGUUGGACAGGCUUUCGGAUACUCACAGAGGAAUGAAAUGCUAACUGAUGUAGUUAUUUUUCAUUUCAUUAAAUACAUAAUGUAAUUGAUUAUAAGUUAUAUCAUUAUUUAAUUAUAUCAUUAUUUACUAUACUGCUGAGCAAGAAAAUAAGCAGCAAGUUGCACAAAAUGAAAUGCCUCCUAUCACUUAUCAUUUUUAUUUUAUAC